AAGUCGUAACAAGGUAACCGUAGGUGAACCUGCGGUUGGAUCAUUAAAAAGAUUCGGCGGUGGGAGCGUCAAAACUCCCACCGCUUCCAAACCCCACAUACAUGUGAACCGUUUGUCUCUGGCGGCCGGAGGGUGGUGACGCCAACAGCUAGCUGCUGGCGAUCGCCCCUCUCUGUCAGCUUGGGUGACCAAGCCGUGGACAAACCGCCAACCGACUACUUAACAAAACCUACAGAAACAUCUUGUCUGACAUGAUUGUGUAUCUAAAAUAUACAAACAACUUUUGGCAACGGAUCUCUUGGCUCUC
rnacentral:misc_RNA from 1 species